rnacentral:rRNA from 1 species
UUGGUUAAGUUAGAAAGGGCGCACGGUGGAUGCCUUGGCACUAGGAGCCGAAGAAGGACGGGACUAACACCGAUAUGCUUUGGGGAGCUGUACGUAAGCGUUGAUCCAGAGAUUUCCGAAUGGGGGAACCCACUAUCUUUAGUCGGAUAGUAUCCUUACGUGAAUACAUAGCGUAAGGAAGGCAGACCCAGGGAACUGAAACAUCUAAGUACCUGGAGGAAGAGAAAGAAAAAUCGAUUUCCUGAGUAGCGGCGAGCGAAACGGAAAGAGCCCAAACCAAGAAGCUUGCUUCUUGGGGUUGUAGGACACUCUAUACGGAGUUACAAAAGAAAGUUAUAAAUGAAGCGGUCUGGAAAGGCCCGCCAAAGACGGUAACAGCCCGGUAGUUGAAAUGGCUUUCCCUCCAGAGUGGAUCCUGAGUACGGCGGAACACGUGAAAUUCCGUCGGAAUCCGGGAGGACCAUCUCCCAAGGCUAAAUACUCCCUAGUGACCGAUAGUGAACCAGUACCGUGAGGGAAAGGUGAAAAGCACCCCGGAAGGGGAGUGAAACAGUUCCUGAAACCGUGUGCCUACAAGUAGUUAGAGCCCGUUAAUGGGUGAUAGCGUGCCUUUUGUAGAAUGAACCGGCGAGUUACGAUUUGUUGCAAGGUUAAGCGGAAAAAGCGGAGCCGUAGCGAAAGCGAGUCUGAAUAGGGCGCAUAAGUAACAGGUCGUAGACCCGAAACCAGGUGAUCUACCCAUGUCCAGGAUGAAGGUAAGGUAAUACUUACUGGAGGUCCGAACCCACGCACGUUGAAAAGUGCGGGGAUGAGGUGUGGGUAGCGGAGAAAUUCCAAUCGAACUUGGAGAUAGCUGGUUCUCUCCGAAAUAGCUUUAGGGCUAGCCUCGAGGUAAAGAGUCAUGGAGGUAGAGCACUGUUUGGACUAGGGGCCCUUCUCGGGUUACCGAAUUCAGAUAAACUCCGAAUGCCAUGUACUUAUACUCGGGAGUCAGACUGCGAGUGAUAAGAUCCGUAGUCGAAAGGGAAACAGCCCAGACCACCAGUUAAGGUCCCCAAAUAUAUGUUAAGUGGAAAAGGAUGUGGGGUUGCUUAGACAACCAGGAUGUUGGCUUAGAAGCAGCCACCAUUGAAAGAGUGCGUAAUAGCUCACUGGUCGAGUGACCCCGCGCCGAAAAUGUACCGGGGCUAAACAUAUUACCGAAACUGUGGAUGAACCUCUUCGGAGG